CGGCGUGCUUAACACAGGCAAGUCGAACGAUGAACCGGCUUCGGUCGGGGAUUAGUGGCGAACGGGUGAGUAACACGUGGGCAAUCUGCCCUUCACUCUGGGACAAGCCCUGGAAACGGGGUCUAAUACCGGAUAUGACACGGGGUCGCAUGAUCUCCGUGUGGAGAGCUCCGGCGGUGAAGGAUGAGCGCGCGGCCUAUCAGCUUGUUGGUGAGGUAUUGGCUCACCAAGGCGACGACGGGUAGCCGGCCUGAGAGGGCGACCGGCCACACUGGGACUGAGACACGGCGCAGACUCCUACGGGAGGCAGCAGUGGGGAAUAUUGCACAAUGGGCGAAAGCCUGAUGCAGCGACGCCGCGUGAGGGAUGACGGCCUUCGGGUUGUAGACCUCUUUCAGCAGGGAAGAAGCGAGAGUGACGGUACCUGCAGAAGAAGCGCCGGCUAACUACGUGCCAGCAGCCGCGGUAAUACGUAGGGCGCGAGCGUUGUCCGGAAUUAUUGGGCGUAAAGAGCUCGUAGGCGGCUUGUCGCGUCGGAUGUGAAUGCCCGGGGCUUAACCCCGGGUCUGCAUUCGAUACGGGCUAGGUAGAGUUCGGUAUGGAAGAUCGGAAUUCCUGGUGUAGCGGUGAAAUGCGCAGAUAUCAGGAGGAACACCGGUGGGCGAAGGCGGAUCUCUGGGCCGAUACUGACGCUGAAGAG
rnacentral:rRNA from 1 species